rnacentral:tRNA from 1 species
CUGUUGCGUAGCUUAAUUAAAGCAUGACACUGAAGCUGUCAAGAUGGUCCCUAAAAAACCCCGCAAGCA